AUCCCAUGUGGUUGGAGAACAGCAGGAUAGUUAUUUACUCUGGUGAGUCUGUCACCAGGCAGUUGUAGUACCAUGAGGUUUUACAUGCACCAUUUAAACAAUGUACUAGGCCGGGCACUGUGGCUCACGCCUGUCAUCCCAGCACUUUGGGAGGCUGAAGUGAGUGGAUCACUUGAGGUUGGGAGUUUGAGACCAGCCAGGUCAACAUGAUGAAACCCCAUCUUGGGCCGGGUGCAGUGGCUCACACCUGUAAUCCCAGCACUUUGGGAGGCCAAGGCGGGUGGAUCACGAGGUCAAGAGAUCAAGACCAUUCUGGCCAACAUGUUGAAACCCCAUCUCCACUAAAAAAUACAAAAAAUUAGCCGGGCAUGGCGGCGGGUGCCUGUAGUCCCAGCUACUUGGGAGGCUGAGGCAGGAGAAGGGCAUGAACCCAGAAGACAGAGCUUGCAGUGAGCCGAGAUCAUGCCACUGCACUCCAGCUUGGGCAACAGAGCGAGACUCCAUCUCAAAAAAAAAAGAAUGGUCUCUUUACGCAAGAAUGAUGGAUGUGGAUUUUGUGUUUAAGUCUUGAAAAAAGAGUCAGUGACCUCGAAAUCUCUUGAAAGAAUAUGCAGAAAGCUUCCUGUGCACUCUCCUAGAGUCACCUAGUUCCUGAAUUUUGAGAAGCAAGUGAUAGGUCACUCGGGCCUUCAAUGGGGAAAGUGAUGUUCAGAACCAUGUCACCUCAGGUGUACACUGCAGGUGACAACACAGUCUCAACCCAGCCAUCCCCCAUCCCACACCAGCUGCAGCAACAUUCUCUACACUCUCACAUAAAAAGGGUUAUCUGGGGCCAGGCACGGUGGCUCAUGCCUGUAAUCCCAGCAGUUUGAGAGGCCAAGGUGGGCGGAUCACAAGGUCAAGAGAUCAAGACCAAACACGGUGAAACCCCG
rnacentral:lncRNA from 10 species